rnacentral:ncRNA from 2 species
GGGCGCGCCACGGGAGAGUGCGGGGCCUGCAAUGGCUUCGCCGCCGAAGGAGCAACCGCCCCGGAAUCUCUCAGGCCAAAGGACCGCGGCGCGAAU